UACGGAGGGUGCAAGCGUUAUCCGGAUUCACUGGGUUUAAAGGGUGCGUAGGCGGCUUGUUAAGUCAGUGGUGAAAGCUCGCAGCUUAACUGUGAAACUGCCAUUGAAACUGCCAGGCUUGAGUACGAUUGAUGUGGGCGGAAUACAUCAUGUAGCGGUGAAAUGCUUAGAUAUGAUGUAGAACACCGAUUGCGAAGGCAGCUCACAAAAUCGCAACUGACGCUGAGGCACGAAAGCGUGGGGAGCAAACAGG
rnacentral:rRNA from 1 species